UGAGGUGUUGGAACUGCAAAGUGCAGG
rnacentral:piRNA from 1 species